UGAUGAGAGCCUUGCUGAAUUCUGAAGAGAUUGUAAGAAGCUAGUCCAUGAAGACAUACACCUUCCUUCUUGCUCCUUUCUGAAGAAAUUACUAUGCUGAAUUCCCAAAACAUAGUCUGAUCCUACACAGACAUCAAGAUCCUAGUAACUAUAUAUGUUAUUUAAGUCAGUUGGAAUUCUGGAAGUCUCUUAACACCCAAAAUCAGUCAUUAAUUGGGAUGUGAAAGAUCAUUUUCUUAGUCAUAUUUCUCUCAGAUCCAGAGCUGUGCAGACAAAAACAAAACAAAAAAACCUCCCUUACUGCUAUUAAAUCCCUUCCUUCUGAAGUCAU